AUACGUAGGGUGCAAGCGUUAAUCGGAAUUACUGGGCGUAAAGCGUGCGCAGGCGGUUUUGUAAGACAGAGGUGAAAUCCCCGGGCUCAACCUGGGAACUGCCUUUGUGACUGCAAGGCUAGAGUACGGCAGAGGGGGAUGGAAUUCCGCGUGUAGCAGGGAAAUGCGUAGAGAUGCGGAGGGACACCGAUGGCGAAGGCAAUCCCCUGGGCCUGUACUGACUCUCAUGCACGAAAGCGUGGGGAGCAAACAGGAUUAGAUACCCUGGUAGUCCACGCCCUAAACGAUGUCAACUGGUUGUUGGGUCUUCAUUGACUCAGUAACGAAGCUAUCGCGUGAAGUUGACCGCCUGGGGAGUACGGCCGCAAGGUUGAAACUCAAAUGAAUUGACGGGG
rnacentral:rRNA from 1 species